GUGUAUGGCCAUACCAUCCUGAAUGUGCCCGAUAGUGGCUGAUCUCAGAAGCUAAGCAAGGUGGGGCCUGUUUAGUACUUGGAUAGGAGAAUGUUAACUCAAGCACAAAACUGU
rnacentral:rRNA from 1 species